AUUUAAAGAGUGCGUAACAGCUCACUAGUCGAGCGGUUCUGCAUGGAUAAUAAUCGGGCAUAAGUAUAUUACCGAAGCUAUGGACUUUUAAAGUGGUAGGGGAGCAUUGUAGUUGUGUAGAAGGUGAACUGUAAGGUUUGCUGGAACGGCUACAAAAGAAAAUGUAGGCAUAAGUAACGAUAAAGGGGGCGAGAAACCCCCUCACCGAAAGACUAAGGUUUCCUCAGCGAUGCUAAUCAGCUGAGGGUUAGUCGGGACCUAAGGCGAACCCGAAAGGGGUAGUCGAUGGACAACAGGUUAAUAUUCCUGUACUUCUUAUAAUUGCGAUGGGGUGACGGAGUAAUGAAAGCACCGCGGACUGACGGAAUAGUUCGUUAAAGCAUGUAGCUAUAGAACCAGAUUAAGAGUUAGGUUUUGGCAAAGUGUGAUAGUACCACAAAACUUCGGUAGCGUGGAUAGUGUGCCUAAAGGCUUCCAAGAAAAACCUCUAAGCUUCAGGUUAUGAGCGAUCGUACCCCAAACCGACACAGGUGGUCGGGUAGAGAAUACCAAGGCGCUUGAGAGAACUCGGGUGAAGGAACUAGGCAAAAUGGCACCGUAACUUCGGGAGAAGGUGCGCCGGCUAGGGUGAAGGACUUGCUCCGUAAGCUCUGGCUGGUCGAAGAUACCAGGUGGCUGCGACUGUUUAUUAAAAACACAGUACUCUGCAAACUCGAAAGAGGAAGUAUAGGGUAUGACGCCUGCCCGGUGCCGGAAGGUUAAUUGAUGGGGUUAGCGUAUGCGAAGCUCUUGAUCGAAGCCCCGGUAAACGGCGGCCGUAACGAUAACGGUCCUAAGGUAGCGAAAUUCCUUGUCGGGU
rnacentral:rRNA from 1 species